rnacentral:lncRNA from 1 species
UCAUUUUGUAACAUGAAUGAGAUGCUCCACAUCAGGUUUUCAGGCUGAAAACGCAUGCUGCUGCUACUUGACAUUGGACUCAUCAACUUCCUCCUGUUGCUCGUGGACAGUAAAUGACGGAAGUGAGUUCAGACUAAUUUCAUUCUUUGCAAGUAAGUCCACAACGAUUGAAACUAUUGAUGCAUCUGGCAUCACAUUUAUCUCCUUCAUCUUGUGAAGAAGUUCAAUAACUUUUGAUGGCUCAUUGAUUCGGAUAAAACCACGGAUAAGCAUAUCAAAUGUGAUGACAUUCGGCACCACAGCAUUUUCUUCCAUGUCAAGAAAUAAAUCACGUGCCUUAUCCAUUUGGCCAUCGUUACAAAGCCCACCGAUCAUGAUGCUAUAUGUUACAACAUUUGGCACUAGGACUCCACAAGGCAAACUACGAAACAGUUCCAAUGCAAUUUCGAGUCUGCCGGAUUUACAUAAUCCAUCAAUGAGGCUGUUAUAGGCUCGAAUAUCAAAUUCACACUUGAGAAUUCUCAAAGUAUGAAAUAGUUCAACUGCCUCUACAAUAUAACCAUUCUUGCAGAGCCCAUCAAUAAAGGUUCUAUAUGUCCAGGUAUCAGCUGCCACGCCAUCACGUUGCAUCUCAUCUAACAGCUUGAAAGCACGCUCAACCUGGUGUAUUUCAAAAAGGCCAACAAACAAGGUGUUAUGUAUAACAACAUCUGGCUUAAUUCCUUUAGAGAGCAUUUCGCUAUAAAGGGUUAACGCUCCCUCUAUUUCCUUAUUCUUGCAGUAACCAUUUAUCAAAAUACUGUAACUAAAAACAGUAUGUUUGCAACCCAUACUCUCCAUAGAAACAAAUAGUUCCUUCGCAUGAUUAACUCUACCUGUCAAGCAAAACCCGUCCAGUAAUGUGUUAUAGGUAAAAGCAUCUGGACGCACACCAUGCUGAAUCAUCAAGUCCAACAACCUACUUGCUUCAUCCAUCUUCCCAUUCUUGCAGAGCUCAUCCAUGAUCACAUUGAAAGUCACAACAUUAGGCUGUACCCCUUGAUCCAUCAUCUCAAUAAACAAACGCUUCGCCUCGUUCCAAUCCUUAGCAUAACAGAAACCACGAAUCACAGAGGUAUAAGUAACCACGUUAGGUUUAAUAUUCUUAUCCUUCAUCUGCAGAAGCAGUUCCUUGGCCUUGUCCACAAAACCUUCCUUACAAAGACCAUCUAUAAUAGUAGUGUAUGUAACAGUGUUUGGCUCACAAACAACACCAAAUUCCCCAUUUCCAUUAGCCAUCUCUUCAAAUAAAUUUAGAGCAACAAUUGUAUGGCUUGUUCGACACAAUCCAUUAACCAAUGUGGUGUAUGUAAAAACAUCGGGCUCACAACCAAACACUCUAAGUUUCGUAAACAAUGCGGCGGCCUCCAUGAUUCUACUCUCCGCACACAAACCUUUAAUCAAAGAAGUAAAUGUCACAGCAUCUGGAGUAAAACAAGACUUGAGGAUCCUCCCAAGAACAACAAAACCAUGAGAAACUCGACCCAUUUUGCAAAAGCAGUUAAUCAAGAUAUUGUAAGUAUAAAGAUUUGGAAACAACCCAGUUGAAUUAAGUCGCUUGAAGAGUGAAAGGACAGUAUCAUAAUGUUUAUUCUUAGCAAGACAACCAAACAAAAUAUUGAAGGAAGAGACAGGAGGCGGAGAAGGGUGCAUACGGAGCAUGUAAUCAAAGAUACACAAGGCUUCAUUAGGAGUAAUAGUAGUAAUAUCACCUUCACCUGAUGAUUUGAACCUUUCUCUGAGGAAAUUUUCGAGUGAGGCUCGGUCUUUGACUGUCAGUAGUAGCGACUCCUUCAGUUUAGUUUUUGUAGUCGGAUAUGAGGGUUCAUUUUUCGAAAUUGAGGAUGUGGGUUUUCUCGUGUGAGGGAAUGACGAUGAGAAAUUACAUGUAAGAGCUGAUACUGAAAUUGAAGUAAAAUAAAAUGAACGAUGUGAGGAUACAACAGCCAUUGGAGAGUUUUUGAUUAUUUGGGGUUGAAGAAGAAGAAUGGAAUUACCAAAAUAGAAGAGUAACCUGCUCUUUUAUUUCCAUUCCGAUUUUGAACAGGUAGGUUACAAUUUACAUCAUACCAUUAUACAUCAUACCAUUAAUCGUAUUGUACUGUUAAUUUUACAAUCAAACAAAUCAAACAAAUUAAACAAAUUAAACAAAUUUAAUUAAACGUAUUUAAUCAAACAAGUAGGGUACUUAAGAUAGACAAUCAAACAAAUUAUAAAUUUUGUAAUUCUUUUUAACGUAGAAUGCAAUUAGGAUGGAUGGUUGAUAAUUUGCUACAUUAUAAGAAAAAAUUUAUUGUUUUCGUAAAGGACUCACUCGCUAAAAAAUUAAUAAUUGGUAUCGAUUUAGAUAUCAUUUUAAAUUUUUGUAAUGUAGAAAGAAGAUUUAAUAUAGUAUUUUUCGUAUCACAAAUUCAUAUGACGUAUCCUAGAGGUUUUUUGUAAAUUCGUUCCCAAUAUUGCUUAUUUAUUCUUAAAAUGAAUCUCCACUUACACCUUAUUUCCAACUUUUUGUAAUGCGUAAAAAAAGUUAAUGUUAUAUUCUCAAAUCACUAUUUGUCCAACGACUAUCUUUUAACUCAUAAACAUUUAGUUUUAUUUAUGUUAACAACAAAUUAAUAUAUAUGAGGUUCUACUUAAUUAAGAGAAAUCUAUAUUGAUAAGACUGUUAAGAGAAAACUAGAAAUGAGGUGCUUUUGGAUAAAUAGAACAAGUGAAAAAUUUUCAUCAAACCAUUUGGCAUGUUAUUUGAAAGCUUGCCUCACUAGAAAAAUUUUAGGUGAAAAUUUUCUUUUUGAGAGUAGCAGAAAGCUUACUUUGAACGGUUGAAGAUUUAUGGAAGGAAAAGGUGCUUCAAGAUCCUAGAUGUUAAAUUUGCUAUAAUAAUGUGGAGGGCAUAUCUCAUGCUCUGAUGAAAAAUUUGGUGAAAUUCCUAAUUGGCAGCAGAUUUUGAAAAGGAAAUUAAACAUAUAAGAUAUUAUUAGUUUACUACACACCUUGCCUCAGCAGCAGUGCAAUUUGAAUGGUGAGUCAAUAGCAACUAUAUGUGCUUUGGGUGAUACUAGGAAUGCAAGGAACAAAAUGUUGAUUGGAAGGCAAUAAAGAAGAUCCCAUCAGAUUGAUAGCAAGAGCAGAGUAAUCACUUUGAGAGUCUUUUAGAGGAGUCAAGCAAUUAGAGGAAGCUUACGCUACAAGGAAGGAAACUGACAAACAGAAACAGUGGUGUCCUCCUUCUAAUUAUGGCUGGUUAAAAGCCAAUGUGGAUAUUGCUUCUGAUGUAGAAAAGGCAUUAGUAGGUUGGGAAGUUAUUGUUAGAGAUGACAUUUAUGUUCAAAGUGAUAGUUAGUUCAACUGGGAAGGGUUAUUAGUUUCUAAGCUUUUCACUAGAUGAAAAGUUUGAUCACAAUCUUAUCCAUCUUCUUGUAACUAAAGUCUUUGAGAGGCUUUGACAUAAUUGGACAAUCAACGUUGUUUCUGCAGUCUAGUGCACAACAAUAACAUGGAAUGGAAGCUUAAGCAUUGUUGUUGGUUGUGUUUCCUCUUAAAGAUCCUAGCUCUUUGCUGUAUUGAGAUCCAUGCUCCCCUAUGAGCCCACCCACAUAUGCAUCUACAAAUUAAUGAUAAUAAUAACGCUUAUUUAACAAUAGUUAUAUUCACACAAAACUUAGUACAAAAAGGGUCUUUCUACUAAAUUUGCUAAAUUUUUUUAAGAAAUUGUAAAACGUUUAAUUAACUUAAGUAACUUAUACUUCUAAACUUCUCAUAUUAAUCCCUUAAAUACUUGAAUUUGAAUUCUAGUAAUUGAGAUUCCUUUAUGUAUUACUCUAUGUUUAUUUUUAAGAUAAUCCAAUACUUUUACUAACUUACAUUUACUAAAUUGAGAAUGGCAGAAUGUAAAUGCUGCUAGAAAUACUUUUAAUUACAAUUUCUUUUAUAUUAAUCAUUUUGAAUUGGUGCUUAUGAUUAUAUCCUACAUUUAAAAUUGUAGUUGGUCAAGGUCUGAUAAGGCUACAUUUUGUAAAAAGGUAUUGCCUCUACUUGGAUCUAAUUCUAUACAUAUUUCCCUAAUAAGACUUGUAAAAUUAUAUGGAUUAUUCCCUAAUUCUUUGCUUUCUGAAACCUUUUCAGCAAAAUCUCUUUUAAAAGUAUUGUAUCAAUUUCUUACUAUUUCUCCUAAUAAUGUUUCUAAAAAUUCCCCCAUAUCAUCACUAUGAGUUCGGUUUUGCCAAGCUUUGAUUGCAUUUGCUUCACAUCUAUUUAUGACUUCUGGCCAUAGUUAUGGAUCCCAAGCUGCUAAAUUUAGUAUGCUACUAGAUUUACUUGCUGUUGGCAAUGUCCUAAUCUCAUCUACAUGUUAUCUUUUAUCAUAAGUUUUAUAAUCUUAAUCCUCUUCACUAUAAUUGUUGUGCAAAUUUUAAUGACUCACAAGCGCACGAAUCUAUUGUAGUAUAGAUCAAUGGUGACGAGUGUCGAUCCCACGAGGAGGUGGAUUUUAAUUGUGUGUAGAAUUAAUUUCGUAAAUGGGUGAUUGAAUUUCUGGUGGAAAUGAUUUGGAAUAUGCUAAAACUUAAAUUAAAAUGACGAGAAUAAAUUCUAAAAUUGGAAUUGAAAUGGCAAGAAUAAAUUGAAGAGAAUUCUAUUGAAAUGAUGUACUUGGGUAUCUGGAUCCGUAUCAACAUGCAUCAUGGGCUAAAUAAUCCGUAUUAAUGCCAAUUAAAUCAUGAGGGGGGAAUCCACACCUCAUGAACCACGCUCUAAUCAAUAUGGUGCUAAGGGCUUAUCGUGCCAAAUAAUAAUUAGGGGCAAAAUGGAAAUUUAUUAAAAUACAUAGAAAAUACAAGAUGGAGAAGGAAUUACAGAAAAUAGAUCCCAAAAAUGGAUUCAGAGAUAUCAAAUUAGGGGGGGAGGCCCCCUUUUUAUAGAUACAUGGAGUAAAUCAUGGCCAUCAGAUUAAAAACAGUUUGGACGCUCAGGAUUGUGCCACGUCAUCAGUCAACAGUACGCGGUUUGACCACGUGGAUGAACAGUAACACGGUUUGACCCGGGUUGAACAGUAACGCGGUUUGGUUGAAAAUAAUCCUGUGUGAUGCAUGUACCGUACGCGAGAUUUUUUGUCCACUGAUAUGCUGCCACGUCACCAUCAACAGUACAUAAGAAUUUUAGUCUAACAGGAUCGUGACACCUCAUCAGUCAAUGCCACAUCAUCGGUCAAUGCCAUGUCAUCAUCCGUCUAUGUGAACAGUGUUGUGAACAGUAACGUAUACAGUACCGUACACGUGAAUAGUACCGUACACGUAAACAGUGCCAUUUUUCCUUUUAUGCUCCUCCUAAGGUUUUCGACCAUCCUGAGUUCAAAAGUGAUGUCUGUUUCGCCAUCUAAUCUCUCGUUUAUUGUGAAAUGACUAUGAUGCCCCUAAAAUACAUAAAAUAAUUAAUUUAAAUAAAACACACGGAAUUAAAUCAAAAGAAGGUUAAAUACCUAAAAGUAAGGGUGUUAGUAAAGGUUGUAGUGUAAAAUGACGAUUUUCUCCUUUAUAAAUAUACAUUUUCUAACACUCAACAAUAAUUUCCCAUGUCAAUAGGAUAUCUUCUUCCUAAGUUAUAUGUUGUAUCUCUUGGUGUUGAUCGACUAAAAUUUACUCUACUACGUUUAGGGGAUUAGUAACGUUACUACUGGCUUCUUCAAUUAUCUCAUCCAUUUUGAUGGACUUCUGUGUUUUAAAUAUCAUACCGACUUAUAAUUUUCCUUCUAUUAUAUCAUCUAUAUAUUGGGUAUUGUAUUCUCUUUUUAAAACUUCUACUGCUUGAUAAUGACUCAUUUCUAACAUCAAUUCAUUAUAUCUAAAAUCAAGAAUUUUAUUUAUUUAUUUCCAUGUAAAUUCUUCUUCUAUAGCUAUUAAAGUACUUUCUAAUUCACCAUCCUGACUACUGGUUGUGCCUGCUUGGUAAUUAUAAUUUUCAAAUAUUAAAUAUUGAACCAUCACUAUUACAGUAAAUUACAUUAUCUCUGGUACUAAAAUUAGUUUUUCUAUAAAAUUAUCUAAUUUCCAAUAUAGUCCUGCAUUAGUUUCUUCUGAGAAAAUUUUUGCUCUAAUAGCUUUAAUUCCUUUAGUUCCUAGAAUAUUUAUUAUCUGAUUAUUAUUUAAUUUGUAUUCAGUUGUGCUAUUUUCACUAAGUCUUCCUAUAAAUCCUGUGCAAAUUAAUCAAUUAUCUUCAUUUCUUUUCAUAUGGUAGCCUCUCGCUUUUAUUCCUACUCUUAAAUCCUUAUAAAAAUUAUUAGCUUUUACUAAAUAGUCUAAGGUAAAAUAAUACUAUGCUUACCCUUACUAUUCACGUUUAGUUCUAUACUUCCUAAAAGUUCUUGUUCUAUAUUUGUAAAUCGAUUAUCAUAAAGAUAAAUUAAGGCUUUUGCACUUAAAUUCUCUAUAUGUAAUCUUUUUAGUUCGAUUAUAACUAAUCCUAAAUGGGUCUGUUUGGGUUCUUUAUCUCUAUUCUGAUUAUAGGAAUGCUUAUAUGUUAAAUCUAAUUUUAUCAUUUGAUUUUCAUGCGUGCAUGACACAUAUCUUUCACUAUAAUUUUGAUAUAGCAAAGAUUUACUAAAUAAAUUUCCCUUUUUAUAUAUUAUAUUUGGAUUGAUUGAAUAUAAUUUAUUUUAUCUAAGCCUUUCUAAUUGUUUGUCUAAAUCUGUAAGACUUUAUAUUUUAACUUCAUGACCUUCUUUUUUCUUACUAAAUAUUAUUUUUACUUACCUUCUAAUUUACUACUACUGACUAUUUGCUUACAUUUAUCCAUUAGUAAUAUCUAUAGCUCUUAAUUUGCUUAGGUUGAAGGCUUCCUAUAUCUGUACUAAUUUUAAUAUUUUCGAAUCUUCAUAUUAAAUCUUCUAAUUCUGAAGUUGGUAUUACUUCUGAAUUCUUGGUAUUUUCCAAUUGUUUUAAUUUUAAUCUUCCUUCUUCUAUUCUUGAUAUUUUAUCUAAUUCUACUGUAUUUUGAUCUUUUAUGAAAUCUAAUUUUUUUUUCUACGUUCUUGAUGACUACUCUAUUUUCUCUUAAACUAUCUAAGACUAUCUUAAAAUUUUUAUUAAUCUUAUCUAGUUUUGAUUUCAAAUUUCUACCUAAAUUAACUAUUAAAUCUACUAAACUAUUUAAUAGAGAAUUUUCUGUAUGUAGGUUGUGUCUAAAAUUACCUUUUAUAUUAUAAUCUAUACAAUAUUUAUCUAAGCUUGUCUUUUUACUAUGAUAGGUGUUAAGUUCUAAAUCUAAAUAUUCUAUUCUCUUCAUAAACUGUUGGAUCUUCUAAUUAGAAUUAACUAAUUAAACCAUACUCAGAUACCACUUCGUGCUUGUGUGGCGAGAAAUGAAAAAAAUAGCCUAAGUAAUAAAUAAAAAAGGCUCUAGGGGUGAAAAUGAUCAAAAUUUUAUGAUUGAUCAACUUUUAUAAUGUAGACUUUCUAAAACUUACCGCUUUGUGCAAAGUGUUGUACAAUUAUCCUUUUUCCUCAACUAAUGAUCUUCAGAAUUAAGUCCAUUAAAAAAUUUGGAAGAAAGAAAAAAGAAAUAAAUGCAUUAAGAUGUAUGCAUGCUUGAGACUUAUAUAAAGUAAUCAAUUCAUUUCAUGAAUUAAUUUUUGGACCAUUUACGGAUUAAAGGCGUCUUUAAGGAGAGUAUCUUUUGAGAAUCCAAGGAUAGUGCAAUUACAAAAUUUCAAAAUUUCAAAAUCUCAAUACGUUUUUUGAUAAUCACAUGAUACUAAAAUUAUAAAGAAAAAGAUCCUAGUUACAUUACAACAUCUGUAUUUUAUAUAAUUUUUUUUUUUUUUUUGUUGAUAACAAUAUUGUCGGUACAUGUCUCAAAUGUUUAGAACCACAAGCCGUACAAAUUCACAAAUUGCACCAGCAAUUUUUAUUUUUUUUAACCAAUAACGAAAGAGUGCGGUUGAUGGUACUUACAAGAGCUAACAUGUUCACCCGACACCUACGUAUAAAGAAAUCAUGCAAAGUCGAGGAAGCCAUUUUAAAACUCCAUUGAUUUAAUUAUUUACGACAUUAACAGGUUGGCCAUGUUGUCCUGCACUUUUUGAUGUUUAUUUGACUCACCAUUAUUUCACAUUGUCAGGUCACAGAUUUGUAAUUAAUAAUUCAAUAACCUGCUGGUGUUGCUGCUGCCUCGUGCUCGUGUCGCUGCGAAUUGCAAAAUUCCAUGAUACAGUGAAAUCCACCAGUACCUCGGAGUGUUUUACGGCGUUAACUUUAUUUAUGUCAAUAUAUGCUUAAUUUUUCUGCAGUCACACCAAUUUAACAGCUUUGCUCGAGUCUGGCUAUUGGAAUAAAUUUUGAAGCCUUGUUAGCUAAUUCCUUGCUUGAAAUGGUAUGACCAUUGGUUUUAAUUUCCAUUAAAUUCAGGUGAAACGGAGCAACGGAAGUUACCUAUCUGAUUUUCGGGGUCCUAAAGAAAGUGGGUUGAGGACUACCAUUUGUGACGCUGAAACCAGCAAGAUUUCAGCCACCUGUCAGGAGAUACCGCUCAAGCAACCUUCAAUCCCGAUUUUGGAUGAAGGCCAUACUCCAAGGAACGAGAACACUGAUGUGCUGCUGUCCCUUGCAAAAGUACGGACACCUCGAAAGGUUGUGCUUUCAGGAAAAAUCAAGUCAAUGAGCUGUUCAAUAUUUUAAACCUUGUUCGUCCUAAAUUUCUGAAAUCGGACACAUCCCGGCCUGUUAUUAAGCUUAUAAUGAGUAGAGUGCAAAUGUUUGGCUAAGGCAAAUGCACAUGAUACUUUUUACGAAUUGGUAGGGCACUCUCUGCAAAGCGAUGAGAAUUUUCAAAGGAAAGUGCGGGAGAUGACUAGCGAAGUCCUCCAUUAUUAUAAAGGAGAUUUCUUGAAUGAGCUUCCUGGACUUGUAGAUUUCACUGUAGUGCUGAAUCUCAGUUCCAGACAAAAGAGUGAAAUCCAGAAGUUAAAGAAGUGGUCUUGGAAGAUUAAGAUUGCUGCAGCUGGAAAUGCUACUUAUCUGCAUCCGAAAUUGGCUGCUUGUCUGCAUCCCAAAAUGAAUUCCCUCUCUGAGAAAAUUGUCCCAGCAGAUGAUAAGAUGGACGAGUUGUUAGAUAGAUAGGAUAUAAAAGAUGGGGUGAAGGCUAAAUUCUUUCUGAAUACGUUCAACUGAAGUGAUGAGUGACAAGCUACAUCUAUUUGAUGGGGGAAUGUAAAGAGAAGACUAGAAGACUAGAAAUGUUUUCGCUUAUUCUUUGAAGCAUUACAUGAUCCAAAACGAGAAGCACGGAUUAAAAAACAUGACAACUCACAGAUUCUCAUAUUGGGUUGCUAAUACCCUAUGCUAAUACCCUAUCAAUCAAAGCAAGUAACAAGUUGAUUCAACUGCUAAGAACUUAAAUCCAUGUCAUGUGUGAGAGAGAAUAAGAGAUUUUGCAAUUGACGUUCCCUCACAGCAGGUUGAUUCCAGAAGAAAAAUAAGCCCUGGGCCCUAGCAGCAUGGAGAAUGAAUCAUUUCAAAGAAGAGACAUUCACAGUAAGUUUACAACAAUUUAAAUAAAAGAGCUUACAAUUUAUAUACGGUUUUUUUUUUUUUUUUUUAAUUAUACAAACUCGCAGCUGCAAACAGUAAAUAUGCGAAGAGCACAGUAAGGAUAAAAUAUGCUGUAAAUUCAAAGCACAAAUGACAAUCAAGUACCAAUAAAGUGACAAGCUGCAACUAGUUCAUUAGCAAGCUUCUAAAGUGAUGGGUCAUUAAGAGAGAAGAAGACAGAGGGUGUCUUUACAGUUUGUCGUGGCCAUUCAAUGAAAGCACUAUAGUAAAUAACAAGUUGAAAAACAUGACACAUUUUUAAUUUGGCAUCAACAACCACGUACGGUCGGUGAUCACAUAUGCUAGCUUAUCCAGAUCAGGAUUUGUAAUAUGAGUGGUAUUCCCCAGACCACAACAACAAUCAGAAUCCAUAAACCAGAGAGAACAUGCUGUCACCAGGCAACAUGUCAUUUUCUAACACGAAUGAGAUGCUACAGAACAGGUUUUUAGGCGGAAAACACUUGCUGCUACUACUUAACAUUUGACUCAUCAACUUCCUCCCGUCGCUCUUGGCCAGGAAAUGACGGAAGUGAGUUCAGACAAAUUUCAUUCUUUGCAAGUAAGUCCACAACGAUUGAAACUAUUGAUGCAUCUGGCAUUACAUUUUUCUCCUUCAUCUUGUGAAGAAGUUCAAUAACUUUUGAUGGCUCAUUGAUUCGGAUACAACCAUGGAUAAGCAUAUCAAAUGUGACAAGCUACAUCUAUUUGAUAAAGGGAUGUAAAGAGAAGAUUACAAAUGUUUUCGCUUAUUCAUUGGAGCACUGCAUGAUCCAAAACGACAUGCACAGAUUAAAAAAAACAUGACAACGCACAUAUUCUCAUGUUGGGUUGCUAAUACCCUAUAAAUCAAAGGAAGUAACAAGUCCAACUUAAAUUCAUGUCAUGUGUCAGAGGGAAUAAGAGAUUUUGGAAUCCAAGCAUGCUCACAGCAGGCUGAUUCCAGUUGAAACAUAAGCCUCAGGCCCUAGCAGCAUGGAGAAUGAAUCAUUUCACAGAAGAGACAUACACUGUAAUUUUACAACAAUUUAAGUAAAAAAGCUUAAAAUUUAUAUAAGGUUUUUUAAUUAUACAUCUAGCAGCUGCCAAAGGUAAAUAUGCGAACAGUAUAGCAAGGAUGAAAUAUGCCAUAAAUUCAAAGCGCAAAUGACAAUCAAGCACCAAUAAAUUGACAAACUGCAACUAAUUCCUCGGCUUCUAAAGUGAGGGGUCAUUAAGAGAGACUAGACAGGGGGUGUUUUUACAUUUUCUUUUGACCAUUCAAUGGGAGCCCUAUAGGAAAUAACAAGUUGAAAAACACAAUACCAUAUUUAAUUUGGCUUCAACAACCAUGUACAGUUGGUGAUCACAUAUGCUGGCUUGUCCAGAUCAGGAUUUGUAAUAUGAAUGGGACUCUCCAGAUCACAGUAAUCAGAACACAUGAACAUCAUCAGUGAGAACAUGCUGUCACCAGCUGAGAUGUCAUUUUGUAACACGAAUGAGAUGCUCCAGAUCAGGUUUUCAGGCUGAAAACACAUGCUUCUGCUGCUUGACAUUUAACUCAUCAACUUCCCCCUGUCGCUCGUGGACAGGAAAUGACGGAAGUGAGUUCAGACUAAUUUCAUUCUUUACAAGUAAGUCCACAACCAUUGAAACUAUAGAUGCAUCUGGCAUUACUUUUUUCUCCUUCAU